rnacentral:tRNA from 2 species
GCGGGUAUAGCUCAAUGGUAGAGCAGCAGCCUUCCAAGCUGAAUACACGGGUUCGAUUCCGUUACCCGCUCCA